rnacentral:tRNA from 1 species
GGUGGCUCAGUGGUUGAGUGCUUGCCUUGCAUGCAUGAGGUCCUGGGUUCGAUUCCUCAGCACCA